GAUGCAACGCGAAGAACCUUACCUGGUCUUGACAUCCACGGAAGUUUUCAGAGAUGAGAAUGUGCCUUCGGGAACCGUGAGACAGGUGCUGCAUGGCUGUCGUCAGCUCGUGUUGUGAAAUGUUGGGUUAAGUCCCGCAACGAGCGCAACCCUUAUCCUUUGUUGCCAGCGGUCCGGCCGGGAACUCAAAGGAGACUGCCAGUGAUAAACUGGAGGAAGGUGGGGAUGACGUCAAGUCAUCAUGGCCCUUACGACCAGGGCUACACACGUGCUACAAUGGCGCAUACAAAGAGAAGCGACCUCGCGAGAGCAAGCGGACCUCAUAAAGUGCGUCGUAGUCCGGAUUGGAGUCUGCAACUCGACUCCAUGAAGUCGGAAUCGCUAGUAAUCGUGGAUCAGAAUGCCACGGUGAAUACGUUCCCGGGCCUUGUACACACCGCCCGUCACACCAUGGGAGUGGGUUGCAAAAGAAGUAGGUAGCUUAACCUUCGGGAGGGCGCUUACCACUUUGUGAUUCAUGACUGGGGUGAAGUCGUAACAAGGUAACCGUAGGGGAACCUGCGGUUGGA
rnacentral:rRNA from 1 species